rnacentral:tmRNA from 1 species
GGGGCUGACAGGUUUCGACAGCCAGAAGAGACAACUGAACAGCGUGCCAGUGAAUGGCUCUCGACCACUGCGAGCGUCGGAGCCGAAAGAUAAUCGCGAACGACAACGAUUCGCUCGUGUCUGACGCCGAUCUCGCUGAGAUCGAGGCCUUCGCCAACGGCGACGUCCUCGUCUGCGCCUGACCGGUGGGACACUGGGACGGACCCGGGAGACCUCCGACGCUCCCCCGCUCCUUCAAAAACAAGAUUCGGAUGGCGACAGCACGGGGUUCCCGCUCCAACGCUGCGUGAGAUACCAAGCGGGAAACCGGGUCUAGCGCAAGGGUGUUCCCGCCCAAGCGCUCCGGAUGACAAAACGGGAACUACGCACGUAGAACGCAGCUGACGACGCUGACUGGAAUCCGGUUCAAAUCCGGACAGCUCCACUU